rnacentral:rRNA from 1 species
CCCUUAGAUGUUCUGGGCCGCACGCGUGCUACACUGAGUGGAUCAGCGGGUCAGGUUGCGCGAAAGCGUUUCCUAAUCUUUAAAUCCGCUCGUGAUGGGGAUUGACGGUUGCAAUUUUCUGUCAUGAACGAGGAAUACCUUGUAAGCGCGGGUCAUCAUCCCGCGCUGAAUACGUCCCUGCCCUUUGUACACACCGCCCGUCGCUCCUACCGAUUGAGUGGUCCGGUGAGGCUUUGGGAUCUGAGCGGAAAGAGCGUUUCGCUGUUUCUGCUCGGAAAACUCAGUCGAACCUUAUCAUUUUGAGGAAGGAGAAGUCGUAACA